rnacentral:misc_RNA from 1 species
GAUGAAGAACGCAGCGAAAUGCGAUAAGUAAUGUGAAUUGCAGAAUUCAGUGAAUCAUCGAAUCUUUGAACGCACAUUGCGCCCGCCAGUAUUCUGGCGGGCAUGCCUGUUCGAGCGUCAUUUCAACCAUCAAGCCCUGCUUGCGUUGGGGUCCUGCGGCUGCCCGCAGGCCCUGAAAACCAGUGGCGGGCUCGCUAGUCACACCGAGCGCAGUAAUACAUCUCGCUUUGGGCGUGCGGCGGGUUCUUGCCGUUAAACACCCCCUUUUUACCAAGGUUGACCUCGGAUCAGGUAGGAAUACCCGCUGAACUUAAGCAUAUCAAUAAGCGUAGGA